GCGUCUUCAUCGCUCGACCUGCCGGCAAC
rnacentral:sRNA from 1 species